rnacentral:lncRNA from 1 species
AUUUUAUAAGUCCAAAGGUACACCAGGCAAACAUCUAGCCACAUAUUUUGCAUCUAUGUGACAAGAGUUAUAAACUAACCCUCUGGAGAGACAGGGAUCCUCAGAUCCUUCCAUCCUCCUCCUCCAUCCUCCAUCCUUCAAUCAGCUGAUUCUACAUUUAAGAGCAGACUGAUGUCAGCUUCCAAGUUCCAGAAGUGAAUAAGAUAGGGUUCUAAAGUGGAAGUGAUGAAAAUCAAUUCUGGCUUAUUUACACAGAAAAGAGUUGCAUUCAAGAGGUAUUGGGGAGCUCAAACAAUUGUUUCGAGGAUUAGAGAGCUGCGCAAGGGAGCCUGGGAAGGUGAGUACAGUUGACCCUUGAACGACAUGUUUUGAACAACGUGAGUGUGAACUCCAUGGGUCCACUUACACAAGGGUUUCGUCAGCCUCUGCCACCCCCGAGACAGCAAGACCAACCUUUCCUCCUCCUCUUCCUUAGCCAUCUCAAUGUGAAGAUGAUGAGGAUGAAGACCUUUAUGUUGAUCCACUUCCACCUAAUGAACA